rnacentral:rRNA from 1 species
GUGGGGAAUUUUGGACAAUGGGCGCAACCCUGAUCCAGCCAUUCCGCGUGAGUGAAGAAGGCCUUCGGGUUGUAAAGCUCUUUCGGCAGGAACGAAACGGUGAGCUCUAACAUAGCUCGCUAAUGACGGUACCUGAAGAAGAAGCACCGGCUAACUACGUGCCAGCAGCCGCGGUAAUACGUAGGGUGCGAGCGUUAAUCGGAAUUACUGGGCGUAAAGCGUGCGCAGGCGGUUGUGUAAGACAGGUGUGAAAUCCCCGGGCUUAACCUGGGAACUGCGCUUGUGACUGAACGGCUAGAGUAUGGCAGAGGGGGGUGGAAUUCCACGUGUAGCAGUGAAAUGCGUAGAGAUGUGGAGGAACACCGAUGGCGAAGGCAGCCCCCUGGGCCAAUACUGACGCUCAUGCACGAAAGCGUGGGGAGCAAACAGGAUUAGAUACCCGUGUAGUCC